UGGGUUGUGGCUCAGUGGUAGAGCACUCUCCUAGCAUGUGUGAAGCCCUGGGUUCAAUCCUCAGCAACCCAU
rfam:Ictidomys tridecemlineatus contig073314, whole genome shotgun sequence.